rnacentral:rRNA from 1 species
GACGAACGCUGGCGGCGUGCCUAAUACAUGCAAGUCGAGCGGACAGAAGGGAGCUUGCUCCCGGAAGUAAGCGGCGGACGGGUGAGUAACCAGUGGGCAACAUGCCUGUAAGACUGGGAUAACUUCGGGAAACCGGAGCUAAUACCGGAUAGGUUCUUACUCGGCAUGGGGGAAGAUGGAAAGACGGUUGCGGCUGUCACUUACCGAUGGGCCCGAGGGGCAUUAGCUAGUUGGUGGGGUAAUGGCCCACCAAGGCGACGAUGCGUAGCCGCCCUGAGAGGGUGUUCGGCCACACUGGGACUGAGACACGGCCCAGACGCCUACGGGAGGCAGCAGUAGGGAAUCUUCCGCAAUGGACGAAAGUCUGACGGAGCAACGCCGCGUGAGCGAAGAAGGCCUUCGGGUCGUAAAGCUCUGUUGUUAGGGAAGAACAAGUGCCAGAGUAACUGCUGGCACCUUGACGGUACCUGACCAGAAAGCCACGGCUAACUACGUGCCAGCCGCCGCCGUAA